UUUGUUAUUUCUGUAAUUUUGGGUUACUUCUUUUGUUUUUGGAUACCCUUGAAUUAUUGGCUGGUAAUUCUUUGGGUAUCUACCUAUUUAUUUUAUUUUUUUCAAUAACCAGAAGGUGUAAAGUGCACCGAUAAUAAUUCGUUGUUUUAUUUGGUUGCCAUGUUACUGUUAGUGCUUGAUAUGAUUUUAUUAACAGACUUGUAUCUUAAUGUCUAAAGUAAAUAAUUCACCUUUGUUAAUUUAAAUAACUUACGCCAUGCAUAGUAGAGAUUCUAAAGUCUUUACAAAGUUCAUUUAUAUUGGAAUCAGGGCCGGACCGUGAGUUUAGGGGCCCUGAGCUAAUAUUACUUAGGGGCCCACCUACUGUAGUCUUUCGCAUUAUCGUCUAUUUUUUACUUUGACUUGUCUUAGCUAGGGGCCCCUUGAAUCCACGGGGCCCUGGGCUGAAGCCCAAAAAGCCCAUAGAUCCUGCCCUGAUUGGAAUAGGUAUUUUUCUGAUUUUACAACCAACAUUAGUACCUUAUUAGAAAACGAACUUAACUCUCUUAUUGUUUAUAAGCAGCGAAAUGAUCAUUUUCAAUAUUUAUCUAUCGAUACUUUUUAUAAUUUAUGACUACUUAGUGGGUAUUUGGAAAAUAUUAUAAACUUCAUUUGCCCUUACAACUAUGUAUGUGUUUCCGAGUCUGAUUACAGGGAAUCCCCGGGACGAUAUCAACCUUGACACGUGGAUUAAUUAAAUAAUCCAUUGCGAAAGUUCCACUUCCGGUCCGGGAUGCAGUUCGGGACGAGAUUUUUAACAAAAAUCCUGUAGUCAUCAUGAAGAAAAUCGACGGGGAAACUACGAAGAAAACUUAAUUGUUAGUCGCAUUUUUUUUUUAUGUUUAAGUACUUGUUUAAAGUAUUUUAUUAUCAUUUAUUUAUGUAUCUUUUAUUUCAUUCAAUUUGAGGUAUGAGCAAAAUUAUUAAUUUGAUGUAAAAACAUAAC